rnacentral:rRNA from 1 species
GUGUCAGCCGCCGCGGUAAGACGUAGGAUGCGAGCGUUGUCCGGAAUUAUUGGGCGUAAAGCGAACGUAGGCGGUUCCUUAAGUUUGGGGUUAAAGACCGAGGCUCAACCUCGGGAGUGCCCUGAAUACUGGGGGACUGGAGGACGGCAGAGGAAAGUGGAAUUCCCAGUGUAGCGGUGAAAUGCGUAGAUAUUGGGAGGAACACCAGUGGCGAAAGCGACUUUCUGGGCCGUUCCUGACGCUGAGGUUCGAAAGCGUGGGGAGCAAACAGGAUUAGAUACCCUGGUAGUCCACGCCGUAAACGAUGGAUACUAGGUGUCAGAGGUAUCAACCCCUCUGGUGCCGUAGCUAACGCGUUAAGUAUCCCGCCUGGGGAGUACGGUCGCAAGGCUGAA